AUCAGAUGGCGAGUCUCAAAUAAGACGAAAUGUACAUCCUGUAU
rnacentral:hammerhead_ribozyme from 1 species